rnacentral:misc_RNA from 1 species
CGAAUUGCAGAAUUCAGUGAGUCAUCAAAAUUUUGAACGCAUAUUGCACUUCCGGGUUAGUCCUGGGAGUAUGCUUGUAUCAGUGUCCGUUAAUACUAAAUUGUUUCAUGUAUUUGAAGCAGAAUGUGAAGUGUCUUGCUUCGGCAAGUCCUUUUAAAUGAGUAUUACCUGUGCACCCUUGUGGUUUGUACAAUAUAAAGGUAUUGCAAUUUCGACUUUGGCCGUCCGGAGUAAGGAUGCCCGGCUUGGAAGGAGGAAUGGACCGCGGUAGUUUUGCUUGUGCUUCGGUGCAGGUGAAUCGUGUUAUUGCUUUUUGUUCUUUUGGAAGGGCCCCGUGUUUGAUCGCUGGAUUCAAUUUCGAGUUGUACGUACUGGUGCAUUCCUUGGUGUAUGGAGGCAAAUUGGGAAACAAAUCCAAUUUGGACCUGAUAUCAAGCAAGACUACCCGCUGAACUUAAGCAUAUCAUUAAGCGGAGGAAAAGAAACUAACAAGGAUUCCCCCAGUAACGGCGAGUGAAGCGGGAAGAGCUCAAACUUAAAAUCUCCACGUUUACGUGGCGAAUUGUAGUCUAUUGAGGCUGUUAUCAGCAUAGCGACCUGGGAGAAGUCCCUUGGAAAAGGGCAGCAAAGAGGGUGAUACUCCCGUCUCUGCUCAGGUUGUCUGUGUGUACGAUACGCUUUUUUUGAGUCGAGUUGUUUGGGAAUACAGCUCAAAGUAGGUGGUAAAUUCCAUCUAAAGCUAAAUAUUGGUGCGAGACCGAUAGCGAACAAGU